AGAGUUUGAUCCUGGCUCAGGACGAACGCUGGCGGCGUGCUUAACACAUGCAAGUCGAACGGGAGGAAAAGAGAAGCUUGCUUCUUUUUGAAUCUAGUGGCAAACGGGUGAGUAACACGUAAACAACCUGCCUUCAGGAUAGGGACAACAGACGGAAACGACUGCUAAUACCGAAUGUGUUCCGGAGACCGCAUGAUUUCCGGAAGGAAGGAUGGCCUCUAUUUAUAAGCUAUCGCCUGAAGAGGGGUUUGCGUCUGAUUAGGCAGUUGGUGAGGUAACGGCCCACCAAACCUACGAUCAGUAGCCGGUCUGAGAGGAUGAACGGCCACACUGGAACUGAGACACGGUCCAGACUCCUACGGGAGGCAGCAGUGGGGAAUCUUCCGCAAUGGACGAAAGUCUGACGGAGCAACGCCGCGUGAGUGAUGACGGCCUUCGGGUUGUAAAGCUCUGUGAUCGGGGACGAAUGGCUGGUAUGCUAAUACCAUAUCAGAGUGACGGUACCCGAAUAGCAAGCCACGGCUAACUACGUGCCAGCAGCCGCGGUAAGACACAGUGU
rnacentral:rRNA from 1 species